GACGAACGCUGGCGGCGUGCUUAACACAUGCAAGUCGAACGGAAAGGCCCUGCUUUUGUGGGGUGCUCGAGUGGCGAACGGGUGAGUAACACGUGAGUAACCUGCCCUUGACUUUGGGAUAACUUCAGGAAACUGGGGCUAAUACCGGAUAGGAGCUCCUGCUGCAUGGUGGGGGUUGGAAAGUUUCGGCGGUUGGGGAUGGACUCGCGGCUUAUCAGCUUGUUGGGGGGGUAGUGGCUUACCAAGGCUUUGACGGGUAGCCGGCCUGAGAGGGUGACCGGGCAGGGGGGGAGGGCGAGCGGGUGACAGAUGGCAGGGGGGGGGGCGGGGGGGGAAAGGGAGGGGCGGGCGGAGGCCUGGAGCGGCGAGGCCGGGGGGGGGAUGAUGGGGCGCGGGGUGUAGCCCGCUGCCGUCUGUGAGGAGGGGGGGGUGAUGGUGAGGGGAAAGGAACCGCCGGGUACCGGCGGGCCAGAGGGGGGGUGAAGAAGGGGAGGAGGAACAGCGUGAGG
rnacentral:rRNA from 1 species